AUUGCCGAUGUUGAAUCACCUCAGCAACACUGAUUUGGGGGAAAUAUUUAACGAUGAUGGAAGAUUCGAGGAAGCUGUCAAUGACAUAAAACAGAUAUGCGACUUACUUACUUUGUCGUGAGGUUUCCUAGUUUAAAGAAUUGGAAUCUGAAAAGGAAGUUCUGAUCAUUCAAAGCAACCCCAACUCGAGGAGAAUAAAAAAGCAUUACAUGAACUGUCUGAAAGAAAUGCUGUGAGCUGCUGCGGAAAUUGAAGAAGAAUCGGAAAAAAUAGCUGAGAAAUUCUUAUCGGGAGAUACAGAAGUCGAUGAAUUCCUGGAACAAUUCUUGACC